GUCUGAUAAAAGCAGUACUACUCGUCGGCCAUUAAAUCCUAACACAUCUGAUGAUGAUGACGCUGCGGAAGCAGGUCCAUCAAAAGAAGUAUGGAGCAGCAGAAGUGGCUCUUCUGUUAGACAUCACCACAAGAAACCUGUGGCCGAAAAGAAAGCAAGGUCGUCUGUCCCGCCACAAACACAGCAGGCUACCCCGCCACGAAGAUUAUCGUCCGUAUGUUCUGUCCCCCCACUCCAAAUUUUGGACACACCUCCAAGACGUCAUCCACACUCCCCUCAUCUUGAUUCUUCGAGUCCUGGGAACAGCAUCCCUCCGCAACAACCCCAACACAGUGACAUGGAGGAGACAAACAUCUUAGAAAUGCAGCCAUUAAUGCAAGGAAUGAGCCCCCCAGCACCUGUGAGUACACCACCACAGCAAAGCACACCACCACCACCACAACACAGCCCAACAACACCAGUAACACAAGGCCCUGAUCAGGUGUUUUGGACUAUUUGGGCUAGACAGCAGGCCACUAAUGAAGACUGCCUGCGUAAGCAGACACAAAUGUUUGCAAGCCUACCAUCUCACCUCAGAAGAAUCUCAAGAAAUCUGAGUCGCCAAAAUGAGCAAACAACCAGAAUAGGCAAUACCAUGGAACUCAUGCGUACAGACAUUACACAGGUCAUGGGCAACUUACAGCGCAUAAUGGAAGAACAGCACAGACUAAUGGAAGAACAGCACAGACUAAUGGAAGAACAGCACAGACAACAGCAAAGUUAUAUGAGCAUUUUUCAAAACAGUCAAAAGAUUAAUGAAAGUUGAUUCAGAAUAGAAGACAAUCAAAAUGCUGCUACACGUGAACUCAAUGCCACCCUCACUAACCUGAAUGAAACACUCAGAUGCAUGCACCAACAGCAAACAACCAGCAGUUCUGGUACGACUACUCCAAAUAUCACGCCAGUCUCAUCACCACCAAGACGGUCCACCAGAGCACGCCAACAUGACAGUGCUAAAGGCAAAGGGCAGGACAAGCAGCCACCAAAAAAAACGUAACAAAAAAAAGUUAGACAUUUGUGAUAAGUAACUCAAAAUAGUUAGCAAGUGUUUUUGAUGCUUUACAAAAUAUCACACUUAGCUCCU